rnacentral:rRNA from 1 species
AUUGAACGCUGGCGGCAUGCCUUACACAUGCAAGUCGAACGGCAGCACGGGUGCUUGCACCUGGUGGCGAGUGGCGAACGGGUGAGUAAUAUAUCGGAACGUACCUUAUCGUGGGGGAUAACGCAGCGAAAAGCUGCGCUAAUACCGCAUACGCCCUGAGGGGGAAAGCGGGGGACCGUAAGGCCUCGCGCGAUUAGAGCGGCCGAUAUCUGAUUAGCUUGUUGGUGGGGUAAAAGCCCACCAAGGCGACGAUCAGUAGCUGGUCUGAGAGGACGAUCAGCCACACUGGGACUGAGACACGGCCCAGACUCCUACGGGAGGCAGCAGUGGGGAAUUUUGGACAAUGGGGGGCAACCCUGAUCCAGCAAUGCCGCGUGAGUGAAGAAGGCCU